GGGUUGUGAGGUUAAGCGACUAAGCGUACACGGUGGAUGCCCUGGCAGUCAGAGGCGAUGAAGGACGUGCUAAUCUGCGAAAAGCGUCGGUAAGGUGAUAUGAACCGUUAUAACCGGCGAUGUCCGAAUGGGGAAACCCAGUGCAAUUCGUUGCACUAUCGUUAACUGAAUACAUAGGUUAACGAGGCGAACCGGGGGAACUGAAACAUCUAAGUACCCCGAGGAAAAGAAAUCAACCGAGAUUCCCCCAGUAGCGGCGAGCGAACGGGGAGCAGCCCAGAGUCUGAAUCAGCUUGUGUGUUAGUGGAACGGUCUGGAAAGUCCGACGGUACAGGGUGAUAGUCCCGUACACCAAAAUGCACAGGUUGUGAACUCGAAGAGUAGGGCGGGACACGUGGUAUCCUGUCUGAAUAUGGGGGGACCAUCCUCCAAGGCUAAAUACUCCUGACUGACCGAUAGUGAACCAGUACCGUGAGGGAAAGGCGAAAAGAACCCCGGCGAGGGGAGUGAAAAAGAACCUGAAACCGUGUACGUACAAGCAGUGGGAGCACCUUCGGGUGUGACUGCGUACCUUUUGUAUAAUGGGUCAGCGACUUAUAUUCUGUAGCAAGGUUAACCGUAUAGGGGAGCCGCAGGGAAACCGAGUCUUAACUGGGCGUUAAGUUGCAGGGUAUAGACCCGAAACCCGGUGAUCUAGCCAUGGGCAGGUUGAAGGUUGGGUAACACUAACUGGAGGACCGAACCGACUAAUGUUGAAAAAUUAGCGGAUGACUUGUGGCUGGGGGUGAAAGGCCAAUCAAACCGGGAGAUAGCUGGUUCUCCCCGAAAGCUAUUUAGGUAGCGCCUCGUGAAUUCAUCUUCGGGGGUAGAGCACUGUUUCGGCUAGGGGGUCAUCCCGACUUACCAACCCGAUGCAAACUACGAAUACCGAAGAAUGUUAUCACGGGAGACACACGGCGGGUGCUAACGUCCGUCGUGAAGAGGGAAACAACCCAGACCGCCAGCUAAGGUCCCAAAGUCAUGGUUAAGUGGGAAACGAUGUGGGAAGGCACAGACAGCCAGGAUGUUGGCUUAGAAGCAGCCAUCAUUUAAAGAAAGCGUAAUAGCUCACUGGUCGAGUCGGCCUGCGCGGAAGAUGUAACGGGGCUAAACCAUGCACCGAAGCUGCGGCAGCGACACUAUGUGUUGUUGGGUAGGGGAGCGUUCUGUAAGCCUGCGAAGGUGUGCUGUGAGGCAUGCUGGAGGUAUCAGAAGUGCGAAUGCUGACAUAAGUAACGAUAAAGCGGGUGAAAAGCCCGCUCGCCGGAAGACCAAGGGUUCCUGUCCAACGUUAAUCGGGGCAGGGUGAGUCGACCCCUAAGGCGAGGCCGAAAGGCGUAGUCGAUGGGAAACAGGUUAAUAUUCCUGUACUUGGUGUUACUGCGAAGGGGGGACGGAGAAGGCUAUGUUAGCCGGGCGACGGUUGUCCCGGUUUAAGCAUGUAGGCUGAUUAUCCAGGCAAAUCCGGAUAAUCAAGGCUGAGGUGUGAUGACGAGGCACUACGGUGCUGAAGUAACAAAUGCCCUGCUUCCAGGAAAAGCCUCUAAGCAUCAGGUAACAUCAAAUCGUACCCCAAACCGACACAGGUGGUCAGGUAGAGAAUACCAAGGCGCUUGAGAGAACUCGGGUGAAGGAACUAGGCAAAAUGGUGCCGUAACUUCGGGAGAAGGCACGCUGGUGUGUAGGUGAAGCCUCUGCGGGUGGAGCUGAGACCAGUCGAAGAUACCAGCUGGCUGCAACUGUUUAUUAAAAACACAGCACUGUGCAAACACGAAAGUGGACGUAUACGGUGUGACGCCUGCCCGGUGCCGGAAGGUUAAUUGAUGGGGUUAUCCGUAAGGAGAAGCUCUUGAUCGAAGCCCCGGUAAACGGCGGCCGUAACUAUAACGGUCCUAAGGUAGCGAAAUUCCUUGUCGGGUAAGUUCCGACCUGCACGAAUGGCGUAAUGAUGGCCAGGCUGUCUCCACCCGAGACUCAGUGAAAUUGAACUCGCUGUGAAGAUGCAGUGUACCCGCGGCAAGACGGAAAGACCCCGUGAACCUUUACUAUAGCUUGACACUGAACAUUGAGCCUUGAUGUGUAGGAUAGGUGGGAGGCUUUGAAGCGUGGACGCCAGUCUGCGUGGAGCCAACCUUGAAAUACCACCCUUUAAUGUUUGAUGUUCUAACGUUGGCCCCUUACCGGGGUUGCGGACAGUGUCUGGUGGGUAGUUUGACUGGGGCGGUCUCCUCCUAAAGCGUAACGGAGGAGCACGAAGGUUAGCUAAUCCUGGUCGGACAUCAGGAGGUUAGUGCAAUGGCAUAAGCUAGCUUGACUGCGAGCGUGACGGCGCGAGCAGGUGCGAAAGCAGGUCAUAGUGAUCCGGUGGUUCUGAAUGGAAGGGCCAUCGCUCAACGGAUAAAAGGUACUCCGGGGAUAACAGGCUGAUACCGCCCAAGAGUUCAUAUCGACGGCGGUGUUUGGCACCUCGAUGUCGGCUCAUCACAUCCUGGGGCUGAAGUAGGUCCCAAGGGUAUGGCUGUUCGCCAUUUAAAGUGGUACGCGAGCUGGGUUUAGAACGUCGUGAGACAGUUCGGUCCCUAUCUGCCGUGGGCGCUGGAGAAUUGAGGGGGGCUGCUCCUAGUACGAGAGGACCGGAGUGGACGCAUCACUGGUGUUCGGGUUGUCAUGCCAAUGGCACUGCCCGGUAGCUAAAUGCGGAAGAGAUAAGUGCUGAAAGCAUCUAAGCACGAAACUUGCCCCGAGAUGAGUUCUCCCUGAGACUUUAAGUCUCCUGAAGGAACGUUGAAGACGACGACGUUGAUAGGCCGGGUAUGUAAGCGCAGCGAUGCGUUGAGCUAACCGGUACUAAUGAACCGUGAGGCUUAACCUUACAACGCCGAAG
rnacentral:rRNA from 1 species